UACGUAGGGUCCGAGCGUUGUCCGGAAUUACUGGGCGUAAAGAGCUCGUAGGUGGUUUGUCGCGUUGUUCGUGAAAACUCACAGCUCAACUGUGGGCGUGCGGGCGAUACGGGCAGACUUGAGUACUGCAGGGAGACUGGAAGUUCCUGGUGUAGCGGUGGAAUGCGCAGAUAUCAGGAGGAACACCGGUGGCGAAGGCGGUCUCUGGCAGUGAACUGACGCUGAGGAGCGAAGCGUGGGAGCGAACAGG
rnacentral:rRNA from 1 species